UUAAAACUUUUCAGCUAGAGUAUGAUAGAGGAAAGCAGAAUUUCUAGUGUAGAGGUGAAAUUCGUAGAUAUUAGAAAGAAUACCAAUUGCGAAGGCAGCUUUCUGGAUCAUUACUGACACUGAGGAACGAAAGCAUGGGUAGCGAAGAGGAUUAGAUACCCUCGUAGUCCAUGCCGUAAACGAUGUGUGUUAGACGUUGGAAAUUUAUUUUCAGUGUCGCAGGGAAACCGAUAAACACACCGCCUGGGGAGUACGACCGCAAGGUUAAAACUCAAAUGAAUUGACGGGGACCCGCACAAGUAGUGGAGCAUGUGGUUUAAUUCGAAGAUACGCGCAGAACCUUACCAACACUUGACAUGUUCGUCGCGACUCUAAGAGAUUAGAGUUUUCGGUUCGGCCGGACGAAACACAGGUGCUGCAUGGCUGUCGUCAGCUCGUGUCGUGAGAUGUUGGGUUAAGUCCCGCAACGAGCGCAACCCUCACUUUUAGUUGCCAUCAUUAAGUUGGGCACUCUGAAAGAACUGCCAGUGAUAAGCUGGAGGAAGGUGGGGAUGACGUCAAGUCCUCAUGGCCCUUACGUGUUGGGCUACACACGUGCUACAAUGGUAUCUACAACAGGAAGCAAGACUGCGAAGUUAAGCAAAUCCCUAAAAGAUACCUCAGUUCGGAUUGCACUCUGCAACUCGAGUGCAUGAAGCUGGAAUUACUAGUAAUCGUGGAUCAGCGUGCCACGGUGAAUGCGUUCCCGGGUCUUGUACACACCGCCCGUCACACCAUGGGAGUUGGUUCUACCUUAAGGCAAGGUUUUAAACCCUUGACCACGGUAUAGUCAGCGACUGGGGUGAAGUCGUAACAAGGUAACCGUA
rnacentral:rRNA from 1 species